GUGAGAUUCCUGUAGAUAAAUCCUUUUGGGAUAGACAAAAUCCUUUUGGUAGACAGCAAACUACCUGCAGCUCCUGGAGCUGAAGCUUUCCAAUUAAGCCUGCUUUUUUCUCCUCUUUUUCUCCUGUCUGCAUAACUCCAUCUGGCUGAUAAUUGGUUUAUGGGAACAAGGUGGGACAGGGUCAAAAUCCUUCCUUCAGUCAGGAGGUAGCACAGCUUCCCCAGGUGGGACAGGUGCCUGCCUGAAGGAGAAAUGAAAUGUUUGAUGUGAUCUGUGUGAGACAAUCCGUGACAUCCUUAUCCAAGUGACUGCACGUGGAUGAGUCACUUCUUCAGCAUCUUUCCAGGCAUCAGUGCUGAGCUGGGUCUGGAUCUGCCUGAUUGCUCUGUUUUCCCCUUCUGAGAUUCCCUGGAAACCUCCAGUUUCUGGAAUUGUGAUUUUAAUUGGUACCGUUUCAGUGGUUCCCUGGCUCAUCUUUUCAGUAUCCCGCUGGGAGCUUCCCAGAUUUUCUUGGACUUCAGUGUCACAUCUAUGGGUUAUUUGCCUUCCUCUUCCCCAGCCUGGGAACUGGAUCCCAUCUCCAGCUCUGCCUCAGUCCCAGGCACAGCAAUUCUUUGUCUCUGGGCUACAAACUGUGUCCCCUCAGUGAGCAUUUCCCGAGAACAGAUUUCGGGUUGCCAGAGGCAGCUCGAGUGAGUUUUAAGACAAGAAUUCAGCGGGUUUUGAUUCACGUUCUGUUGGUCCCUGGCAAACAGCCACUGAAUCCAGCUGGGACCAUCCCUAUCCCUGUGCUGGAGAGCCUGUCCCGUGACAGCAGCAGCAAACCAGGAGAAACCCUCUGGGUCAGACUGCAGCAUGCCAGGGACAGAUCUGCCAGACCCAGACACACCAGGGGUGAUUUAAACCUUCAGCUGUGCUCCUUUUCCAGAGGAAUGGCUCUAAAGCAGCCCUUGGCUCCUGGUUUAAUUCCUUCUCCUGACCCUGUGCAAUUCUCACCAGCCUUGAAGGCACUGCUCUGCCUCCGGGUCUGUGACCCUGGUACCACAAAGUGCUGCUUGAAAACACCCAGUGCUCAGUUCCAGGAAGUCCAUGGAGCUCUGGCCCAGCUGGAUUAGCUCCUGCUAACCCCCCAGUGCAGCUCCUGGCUGGUGCCCCAGCUGUACCCUUGGUGCCCUGUGAAUUCUGUUUUACAGAUUACAAACGGCGCAGGGCGGAUUUUGCUGCUUUCCCUUCUUUUGCUUCCUUCCCCUGCAGCCCUCCUGCCUGCCUGCCCCUUGCUCGGCAUCAAACGCUGCUCCUGCUGCUCCCUGCUGCUGCCAGCCCUUUCAUAUUCCCUGGGAUUUCUCCCCCCCCUGCUGACAGGGGGUGGGAGCAGCCUUUCCAAAGCGCCUCCUUUAAUCUUCCCUGGCAAGUCACUGCCUUUCAACCACGCUCCUCAAGAGCGCAGAGGAGGGGAUGGGGAAAUGGGGCUUGUGUCUCUUUAUAGAAACUCCAGCCCAAGCUGGUGGAAAUUCCCAGAGCAAAAGCAGAGUAGCAGGCCUAGAGCUAGGACAGUUUGCAAGUGCCUUGGAUGCUUAUCCACAGGGGUCUGUCCUGUGCUGGAGGGGUAACGAGGGAAGGAAGGGUCCAGGCUGAUCCCAACCAGGCACGAGAGGGAUGUGCAGCCUGCCUGCCACCUGCAGCAGCAUCACGGGCAAUGAAACUCCCUGUUCAUUUCGGGAAAGGGUUUAAUCAUGCCCCUUCCCCC
rnacentral:lncRNA from 12 species